AUUGAACGCUGGCGGCAGGCCUAACACAUGCAAGUCGAACGGUAACAGGAAGAAGCUUGCUUCUUUGCUGACGAGUGGCGGACGGGUGAGUAAUGUCUGGGAAACUGCCUGAUGGAGGGGGAUAACUACUGGAAACGGUAGCUAAUACCGCAUAACGUCGCAAGACCAAAGAGGGGGACCUUCUGGCCUCUUGCCAUCGGAUGUGCCCAGAUGGGAUUAGCUAGUAGGUGGGGUAACGGCUCACCUAGGCGACGAUCCCUAGCUGGUCUGAGAGGAUGACCAGCCACACUGGAACUGAGACACAGUCCAGACUCCUACGGGAGGCAGCAGUGGGGAAUAUUGCACAAUGGGCGCAAGCCUGAUGCAGCCAUGCCGCGUGUAUGAAGAAGGCCU
rnacentral:rRNA from 1 species